CGGGGGGAGCAAGCGGUUGUUCGGAUUUACUGGGCGUAAAGGGCGCGUAGGCGGCCACCGCAAGUCGACUGUGAAAUCUCCGGGCUUAACUCGGAAAGGUCAGCCGAUACUGCGGGGCUAGAGUGCAGAAGGGGCAACUGGAAUUCUCGGUGUAGCGGUGAAAUGCGUAGAUAUCGAGAGGAACACCUGCGGCGAAGGCGGGUUGCUGGGCUGACACUGACGCUGAGGCGCGAAAGCUAGGGGAGCGAACGGGAUUAGAUACCCCGGUAGUCCUAGCCUUAAACGAUGGAUGCUUGGUGUCUGGGGGUUUUAUAGUCCCCGGGUGCCGUCGCUAACGCUUUAAGCAUCCCGCCUGGGGAGUACGGUCGCAAGACUG
rnacentral:rRNA from 1 species